GUCCACUGCGGUUCCGCCGUGCCAAGGGGAGCUUGGCUGUUCACGGGCCUCACCUGCUAGCGAGAAGAUAGCUUGGCCGGGCGGCUGAUCUCACCUUGUAAUUCUGACACUGUGUCUCCCGGGCUUGUCGGCUUCAUGACUUGUGCCCAAAGUUUGAUUUCUCGCAGACCAGGAGGACCCAUUGGACCCCCGGGCUGGCUGCAGGGCCCACACCUGGGUUAGACCUCGCACAGGGACGCUGCUGCCACUGUAAUAAAGCGUGCCUACACGCUUCUGAAACUGGUGUAGGAACAACCUCAGUUCUGUGAAAGGCGGACGCAGCAGGACAGAAUCUCCGUGGACAUCUGUCUGGAGGAGCAAUUUUACUGCGACAUUUUAAAGAAACAAAUUUAAUUGAUUUCCAAGGGUGUCCAUCGCGCUUCCUUCACUGCCUUGAUCAUGUCGGGGUCACCACCUGCGGGGGUUUGUCCUGCAGACCCUGACUCAACGACGGAUGAAUAAUGUACACUGACACAGAUCUUAUGCUUGUCAGUCCUGCUGAGCAUCCAGGCCACUUACAGACUCCAAGAAGAGUCCUGUCAGCCACGGCUCUGACUUGUUGGCCCUCCCGGCAUUUAUUUAGCACACAUUUAAUGACAGAAGUCUCAGGCUGGAAACACUCUUUUUGUAGAACAUACAAAUGGACAUUUCUAAGCACAUUGAGGCCUAUAAUGAAAAAUCAAAUAUCCCACAAUGAAAACUAGAAGGAAGCUAUCUGUGAUAAUGCUUUGUGGUGUAUGGAUUCAUCUCACUGACUGAAACCUGAGUUUUGAUUCACCAGAAUCUAUGCAGGGACAUUUUUGUGCUCAUUGAGGCCUACUGUGAAAAACCAAACAUCAGGGGUGGAGCCAAAAAAGCCAAAUAGGAACAGCUCCAGUCUACAGCUCCCAGCAUGAGCCACACAGAAGAUGGAUGAUUUCUGCAUUUCCAACUGAGAAUCUAUGAAAGGAUAUUUCUGAGCCCAUUGAGGAUCUAUAGUAAAAAAAUCUAUUAUCCUGUGAUAAACACUAGAAGUAAGCUAUCUGUGAAAAUGCUUUGCCUUGUGUGGAUUCAUCUUACAGAGGUUGAAAGCAUUCUUUUUGUAGAAUCUAUGAAAAGACAUUUCUGAGCUUAUUCUGGUUUAUAGAGUAAAACCGAAUAUCCUGAAAUAAAAACUGGAAACUAGGUUGAAAACACAAUUUUUGAAGUAUCUAUGAUGGGACAUAUCGAAGCCCGUUGAGACUUAGUGAAAAACAGAAUAUCCCCUGACAAAAAUUAGAAACAAGCUUUCUGUGAAAAUGUUUUUUGAUGUCUGUAUUUAUCUCACUGAAUGAAAAAUGCAUUUUGAUUCAAGAUGCUGGAAACACUAUUUUUGUAGAAUCUAUGAAGGGAUAUUUCUGAACUCAUUGAAGUCUACAGUGACAAACCGACUAUCCAAUGAUAAAAACUAGAAAUACGCUGUGAAAAAGUUUUAUGAUGUGUGGAUUCUUCUCACUGAAUUAAACCUGCAUUGUAAAUCAUCAGGACUGAAACCUUCUAUUUGUAGAAUCUAUGAAGGAACAUUUAUGAGCCCAUCGAGGCCUGUAUUGAAAAACAAAGGAUCCUGUGGUAAAAACUAGAAACAACCUAAAUAUGGAAAUGCUUUGAGAAAUGUGAUUCAUCUCACAGAGAUGAAUCUUUGUAUUGAUUCAUCAGGUUGGAAACUCUCUUUUUGUGGAAAAUAAAAGGUCUAAAAAGAGACAUAUCUGAGCCCAUUGUGGCCUACAGUGAAAAACUGAAUUUCUUGAACAAACGCUGGAAACCAGCUAUGUGUGAAAAUGCUUUGUGAUGUGUGGGUUUAUCUCACAAAGUUAAACCAUUGUUUUGAUUCAACAUGUUGGAAACACUCUCUCUGUAGAAUCUAUGAAAAAACAUUUCUGAGCUCAUUGAGAAGUAUAGUGAAAAACCACAUAUCCUGAAAUAGAAACUAGAAACAAGAUACGUGUGGAAUGUUUGUGAUGUGUGGAUUCAUCUCACCAAAUGGAACCUGUAUUUUGAUUCACCCAGUUGGAAACACACUUUUUGUAGAAUCUACGAAGGGACAUUUCAGAGCCCAUUGAGGCCUAUUGUGAAAAAUCAAUUAUCCCAUGGUAAAAACUUGAAACAACCUAUCUGUGAAAAUACUUUGUGAUGUAUAGAUUCAUCUCACAAAGUUAAACCAUUGUUUUUAUUCAACACAUUGGAAACACUAUUUUUUAGAAUCUACAAAUAGAAAUUUCUUAGCUUUUUGAGACCUAUAGUAAGAAACUAAUAUCCCACAAUAAAAACUAGAGACAAGCUGUAUGUGAAAAUGUUUUGUGAUGUGUGCAUUCAUCUAACUGAAUGGCACCUGUGUUUUGAUUCACAAGGUUGGAAACACUUUUUGUAGAAUCUACAGAGGUACAUUUCUGAGCCCAUUGAGGCCUACUGUGAAAAACCAAAUAUUCUGUGAUAAAAAUUAGAAACAAGCUAUCUUUGAAAAUGCUUUGGUAUAUGUGGAUUUAUCUCACAGCAUUUAACCUAUGUUUUGAUUCAACAGGUUGGAACGACUUUUUUAGCAGAAUCUAUGACAGUACGUUUCUUUGUCCUUUUAAACCUAUCAUGAAAAACCAAAUUUCCUGUGAUAAAAACCAGAAACAGGGUUUCUGUGAAAAUGCUUUGUGAUGUGUGGAUUCAUCUCACAGACGUUAACCUUUGUUUUGUUUCAACAGGUUCAAAACACUCUUCCUGUAAAAUCUACUUAGGGACAGUCCUGAGCCCAUUGAGGUCUUUAGUAAAAAACGGAAUAUCCCAUGAUAAAAACUAGAAACAAACUAUCUGGGAAAAUGUUUGUGAUGUGUGGUUUCAUAUCAC
ensembl:lncRNA LINC00662 long intergenic non-protein coding RNA 662